GUGACAUCAUCAUAGGACCUAAUCACAUCAGCCAUACCAUCAGGGGCUCGUUCACCUGCACAUCUACCAAUGUGAUGUAUGCCAUCAUGUGCCAGCAAUGCCCCUCUGCCAUGUACAUUGGCCAAACCGGACAGUCUCUACGCAAAAGAAUUAAUGGACACAAAUCUGACAUCAGGAAUCAAAAUACUCAAAAACCAGUGGGAGAACACUUUAACCUGUCUGGUCAUUCAAUGACAGACCUGCGGGUGGCUAUAUUACAACAGAAAAACUUCAAAAACAGACUCCAAAGAGAGACUGCAGAGCUAGAAUUGAUAUGCAAACUAGACACAAUCAACUCCGGUUUGAAUAAGGACUGGGAAUGGCUGAGCCAUUACAAACAUUGACUCUAUCUCCCCUUGUGAUCCUGGCAGCUCUGCAUACUGGACUACACUUCCUGCUUGGCAAACUGGACUCUGGCUCCCUGACCCCCUGCUUCCUAGCUCUAUGGAACAGUGCAAGGAGCAUGCACUGAAAUCCAAUUAACUCUCCUUCUGGGGAAACUGGAGAGUAGACUGCCAUUGCAGGCAGCUCCCAACAGGGCAGGAAGACUGGAAACAAAUCAGUGGAUGUCUGGCUGCAUCAAAACGGGAAAUUCUGCAACAGAAAUGCUGAAUUCUGUGGCAUCUUCCAAAAGAGCCAGACUCUGGCCUCAAAUGAGAUUAAUAAGGUAUUUUACAUGUCAGAUCUGUUGUUUCAGACUCCCUUCAGACAGGCAUCAGAUAACCUUGAAAAUGUGAACUGACUAAUCUCCACAAUCAUAAAAGCUAAUUUUUUUUUUUUUUUUUUACUGAAAAUUGAGAAUUUGGAGUAUAACUGCUGCAAUAAGUCAAUUCACAGAAUACAUAACAUUUGUAAGGUCUCAAUCCUGAGUGGCAGCUAAAUUCUCCCUUUGGCUUUUUGCUUUUCUGUGCCAAUCCAGUCCCUGGUGCCAGAUAGAGCAUCUUAACUUAUGCCAGCUGUCAUUGGCUUAAAGGGGACUUAUGGCUGCUGAGGACCACAGAAUGCAGGAAUGCUUCAAUUACACUCCCUAUGCCUGCUGAAGAGAAGGGAGGUGGCUUAGAAGAGAUAUUCUGUGGGGCAGACAAACAGCUUUAAGGGAACCAAGAGUUGCCCUAACCCACAAGAGGAUUUGUCCUAAAGUCUCCCUUAUAUAAAACGUUCACACUGUAACCUCAGCAUUUCUUUGUCUCUGAAGAAUAGCCUGAAAUAGUGUACACAUUUGUUUGUUAUCCUAAAAAAGAUGGCCUUAACUCUGAUUUCACUUAAAGUGGUAUAAAUGAGGAGCAACUCCACUGAAAUCAGUGGGGUAGUACAAGUAUAAAAGCAGCAUAAAUGAGACCCCUUCUCCUUGAAGCUAGCCUUGGUUCUUUAUACCAAACACUUUUUUCCAGCAAAGGUUUAACACUGAGGAGUUUGUAUCACCUGCCCACCACAGAGCAAAAAAUAAAGCAUACCAAAAUGUAUCAGAAGUGUUUCAAAGGGCUGCAUCACAUAGCACACUGAGGAAGUACCAGGUCUCUUUCACAGAACCACAUAUUCAAAUGAGAUAAUCUAAAGUGGCUUUAACAGUGAGUCUUUGAAAGGAGACAUUCUGCUGGAAUGAGAUGCUUUUUUUCCUGAGUGCUUCCCCUUCCCCCAUCCUGAUUCCCACCCCUACACUCCCUGUCAUUGCUAACUGGUGCCGGUUAAAACUGGCUAGUUCCAGCCCUAACAGCAUCUUCUCUCUCAGAGCUUUUGUUCCCAGUUAGAGCACAGCACCACUUCUGCUUCCAGGCAGCUCAUGUAAUUAACCUACAAAUUGCCAGAUAUUGCAGGAUAUCAUUUAAUAAUAUGACAGUGACCCAAAGCUAAACAAUAGCAUCUUUUUAAUGCAAAUACUUCAAACUGUUUUAUUUUAGUUGCAGCACUAGUUAUUUAUACAUUCUCUUGGCAUUAGAUGUGAAGUAGCUUUAACCCCAUGGCCACUUGUAUUUAAUAUAGUAUAACUUGCAUUUAUUAUUGCUAAUUAUGUGAGCUACUGAAUCUGCCUUGUAAGAAAAACAAAGCUAAUUUCUAAUAGCAAAAGGAUGCAUACCAGUAAUUUUAGGUGUCUUCGGUUUCAUUAGAUUAAAUUAGAAAUGUGACUGGAAACAUUUCAGAUCCAUUUUAAAGUAUAUCUCAUGGAGAUUAUGGUUAGAGGGGGAAUGAUUUCCAAACUGAUUAAAGAUGGAUUUUUUUAGAAUGAUAUGAAACAUUUGGAAUCUGAAGUAUGCCUUUUAUUGUAUCUUGUAGCACAAUAUAAAACAAGCUAAUUCUAUGAAAUUGCUUUAUUCUUUGAAAAAAAAUGCAUUAUGAUGAUGUUUAAUUAUUAUACUCGGGUUAAUACACUGGCCUUUAUCAUGCUGCCCACUGCCUAACUAACUAACUGAUUGAUAGAAGGCAAGUUACAACAUCAGAUAACAUAUUGCAACUUUGCUAGAUGUUUAAUGUACAAUAUAUUGCAAUGAAGACUCUUGACAAAAACCAACAAAGAUACAGUGUUCAAACUCAGAGUGAGACAGAUAAAAUGUCUGCUGUAGUAGA